rnacentral:ncRNA from 1 species
GUCAAAAAUCGCUUAAUGAGCGAUGAAAAAUUUUGACACCUUUAUGUCGGCUCUUUGCCACCUGGGGCUAUAAUAUGUUCUAAGGGUUAGGCUGUUGGGCCAUUAAAGCAGCACAUGAGCUGGUUUAGAAUGUCGUGAGACAGUUC